rnacentral:lncRNA from 1 species
AAAAGAGCAGCCGUGACAGGGGGCGCAGCGCACUGUCUUGGAGAGUGCCUCCCCGGACGGUGUCCUUUACAUGCUGCUACACACCCGUCAAAACAACGCCACAAGAUGGUCUCGCGCGGAUUUAUUCUCAAACUACAACGUUAGCCACGAAGAUAUUUACCACGUUUAUCAGCGACUUCUCCAUUAUGAGGACUGUACCUGAGAUUUGAAGUAAACCAUGGGCGGUGCUGCUGUGUUGAAUGCGAAAGUGGAGUUGAAGUAGUAAACUUCUACAGCCACUUUUCCUUUUAACAGAUGUCUGAAUGUAGUUAUGCCGGAGCAAGGCACGACGCCUUUGUCAGAGUGUCUGUUAUUUUGCUAGUGCUUCAUUCAGAUGUACUAAACUGUCAGCAUGCUACAGACCACAGAAAGGUAAGGAUCAAAGCAUACUGAACAGACUUAGUGUUUUAUGUGCGAUAAGUCAUCAACGAAUGCAUGUAAUUAUAAUGCCACUUAGGAUGUCUCGUGGCACCAUCAGCAAUUCACUAUUGGGAGACCACAUUAAAGCUUAAGUCUGGAACAUUAGUGUGGCUUACUAUGUGCUUCUGUUUUGACCUGUGACUGACCCUGUAACUGACAGUGGCAUUGCAUUACAAAGGAUGAGGCUGGCUUGAGGACGUUGGAGAGGUCUCUGAAUAACUGCACAUGCUGAUUGACAGGGGAAGACAGUUGUGCCAAGUCUGCCUACUGUGUCU